GACGAACGCUGGCGGCGUGCUUAACACAUGCAAGUCGAACGAGUGGCGAACGGGUGAGUAAUACGUGAGUAACCUGCCCUCUUUAUGGGAUAAGCCUUGGAAACGGGGUCUAAUACCGGAUAAAGGGGGAUGGGCUCGCGGCCUAUCAGAGUGUUGGUGGGGGGAUGGCCUAACAAGGCGGUGACGGGUGGCCGGCCUGAGGGGGUGCACGGCCACAUGGGGACUGCGAUACGGCCCAGAGGCGGACGGGGGGCGGAAGUGGGGGAAAUUGCAGAAUGUGCGACAGGCUGAUGCGGCGUCGCCGCGUAGGGGAUUAAGGCUUUCGGGUUGUAAACCUCUUGCGCUAUCGAACGGGUAGGUGGAGAAGAAGCGCCGGCUAACUACGUGCCAGCAGCCGCGGUAAUAC
rnacentral:rRNA from 1 species